AGAGCAGGGCUCUGGGUUUCGGCGGCCAGAAGCUGGAACCAAACCACCCGAUGCGGCUGUUGAAAAGAGCAGUGGUCGUAAGCGAUCCGGGAAAAGGCCAUCGAGAAUGGUCAGG
rnacentral:ncRNA from 1 species